AUGGAAAACCCACCCUCAGGUAAGGAUUAACAAAAGAAGGGUGUGCUUCUAAGUUUUGAAGAUGAAUUCCUGGAAGUCCCACAGGACACUUCUGCUUAAACUUCUCAUCAAGCAUUGGCCAUAAAGGAUUCGCUUAGCUGCAAGGGAAGCGGGCAGGCAGUCUCCGGGUGGGUAGCAAUGUCAGAGCUAAAAACCAAGGUACCAGCUAAGGUCAGCUGGCAGAAGGUCCCAGGGGCUCCGGAAGGGGAGCACCCGGGAACCUGUGCCCUGAACCUGGAUCCGUCUCCAGCCCCCAUUUCUCCUCUCUGUGCCCUGUUACCUCACCAGCAAAACGAAACGGAAAACCCCAGCCCCGGCGACCUCACGGGAUCAUUGCAGAAUGCCUUGCCAGCUGUCAGACACUGAGCACCAUGCACAGUGGGCAUUUUUAAAGUCUAGUUUUAGUUCAUCGGAUGGAGAAUGGAGAGACGUAGACCCCGGUGUCAGGGUCUUGGGGAGCCCCUUCUCUCUGGCCUCCGUUCCUCACUGUUCCCGGGGAGGCUCCUGUGUUGUCUCUUCUAUGAACCAGGUCUUGUCCCCCUGGAGCCUCAAGGGCCCCCAGAGGCAGGUGUGGCUGGAGUCCUCGGUGCCGACAGCUGCGCGGAGCCUGUGACGCUGACAUGGCCGCCUGUCCCCCUCCAGCCCUGCGUGUCGCGGGAGGCAGGGGAGACUGUGCCGUGUUGUCGUACUCAGGACUGCCCGCGCGGGGAUCACGCUUGGGCUUUCUCUGAGGCUAAGUGCCCUGUCGGUGGACGGGAGAAGCGAGCCCUUCGCCAUCUGUGCACUUUGUCGCCGUCACCCAUGGAAGCGGUGGUUUUUAACCCCUGAGGACUCCCCUGGGGCUGCAAGGGAAAACAGACUCCGGGGAGCACCGUGGAGCUGUGCCAGGGUUUCCUGACAUCUGGAAUUGUCCCGCGGAACGUGAUGGGAAUCCAUGUUCCCGUUGCUUCACAGUGCUCACUGAAAGGGACCCCAUUAAGGCCAUCAGCUCAUCACAGACUGCCCCGCCUCUCCCCAGCCCACCGAGAGCCACACACUUGCCCACGCGACGAGACGUGGACCGCAGUGUGGUCUGCGUUCUGGUGUCCAAAAGCAACAGUAACGAGAGCCCGCAGGUCAGGGAGAGGGACCUGUGAGUGACCUCUACGGGCCAGAAGUGGCCCCAGAGGAAAGGGACGCUGCUCUUCUGUGCCCACCGCUGGGCUCACAGGUGCAGGCGCCCCACAAGCUCAUGUGGUGGGGGCUGGAGGAAUCUGGGGGAGAAGGGCCCCCAGGAGUAAGGCCUUUGGUAGGAGAGGCCAGGUUCCGGUGGGGAGACCCAGACCUCGGGCAGCAGGGUCCCGGAUAGCUGCCUCCGUGGUCCUGAGAACCCCCUACCCAAGACCGCCGUGGGGCCUCAGGCUAGGUCAGGCGCCUCUCCUGGGUCCCCGCCGCCCCGGGCAUCCCCUCCAUGACCCCAACUCCAGGGUUCCACGUUCUCGCCCAUCUUCUGAGUCCCUUCCCAGGCUGGGGGCUCCGUGGGCACCCCAGGGCCCCACGUGGACGUGCUCAGGAUCAUGGCUGAGUGAACGAAAGAGGAAGAGAAGGGUUUUUUUCAGAUCUUUGGAGGCUGGGGAUGAGGACCAGGCCUGGAUGGAGGAGGAGGAGACAGAAGGAGGGGGCCUCCUCCUCUGCCCCCCGCAGGCUCCCUCAGCCCCGAGCGGGUGGGCCCCAGCGAGGAAGCCGGCAGACAGCAGCGUCCGGACUGCCGGGAGCCGUGACUCAGCGGCCAUCUGUUAUCUAAUGAGAAAAUGACAAGCCAAUUGGCGUGUUCCCCCUUCUCUUUAAUGUGGCAGAUCGAGAAAUGUGACUUUCCUGAUCUCUGUUUUAAUGAUUCUGACUUGCUCACUCUUAAUUCUCUUAAUCCAGCGGCAGCUAACGCUGUGAUUUGCCCAGGAAUUCCUACGGGGCUUCUUUGGAUUUUGCUUGGGGGGGGGGGUUCUGGGGGGUAGGAGGGUUUUGCCAGAUUUCACCCUUCCUGACUGCCUCUGGAAGGGGCCAGUCCAAUCCCGGAUUCACUGCCUGAAUCACAGAGAAGUGGAGCCUCCCAACGCCCCCCAAACCCUGCCCACUUCAGAGAGGACAGGCCCCCGUGGACGGUGACAAGUGGCCUUGCAGUGGGAUGAAGCCUAAGGCCGCACCAACCAGGCAGGCGGGUCCCUCUCCCUCUCAGGCCUGGGGUCGGGGCUGCAGAAGGAAGGAGCCUGCUGGUCCCUGAGGGCCCCCCUGUGGGCGCGACCCUGAGACUGGACCCUGCAGUCUGGGCUUCUGGGUUUUCUAGUGGUUUGGACAAGCACCACGCUCCGAGCUUUGCGAUCUGACCCUGCCUCCAGCACUCAGCCCUAACCUGA